rnacentral:rRNA from 1 species
GGUAAACGCUGGCGGUAGGCCUAACACAUGCAAGUCGAACGGCAGCACAGGAGAGCUUGCUCUCUGGGUGGCGAGUGGCGGACGGGUGAGGAAUACAUCGGAAUCUACUCUGUCGUGGGGGAUAACGUAGGGAAACUUACGCUAAUACCGCAUACGACCUACGGGUGAAAGCAGGGGACCUUCGGGCCUUGCGCGAUUGAAUGAGCCGAUGUCGGAUUAGCUAGUUGGCGGGGUAAAGGCCCACCAAGGCGACGAUCCGUAGCUGGUCUGAGAGGAUGAUCAGCCACACUGGAACUGAGAAACGGUCCAGACUCCUACGAGAGUCAGCAGUGGGGAAUAUUGGACAAUGGGCGCAAGCCUGAUCCAGCCAUACCGCGUGGGUGAAGAAGGCCUUCGGGUUGUAAAGCCCUUUUGUUGGGAAAGAAAUCCAGCUGGCUAAUACCCGGUUGGGAUGACGGUACCCAAAGAAUAAGCACCGGCUAACUUCGUGCCAGCCGCCGCCGUAA